GCAUGCAAAUAUUUUAACAUGAAAUUAACAGUACAAAUAUAUUUAUUUAUUUGUGUUAAAAGAAAAGAUAACUAACAGUGCAUGUUGGAUGGGGGAAGUGGGUCACGUGCAAAUUGCAGAGAAACAGAGACCAAAUGGUGAGGCUCCGAAGCCAAGAAAAUGGAGGAGUUGGAGAGAGAAACUCAGCUCUAAGCUCUAACAAUGCAGAAAGGAUAAUUAAAGGUUUCAGUUUACUAUCAGCACUGCAGUCCAGUCGUAUUCUUUUCUGUUUUAUAAGGAAAUUAAAUAAUAAUAACAAUAGGGUGUAAAGUGUCAGAACUGCAAUGGCGGCUGAGGAGUGAGGCUGUUCUUUGAUUCUUGAAUUGAAUGUUGUGAGUCGUAGGUUUUGGACAACCAAGCACAAGAAAAUGGAGCCGCAGGUUACCCUAAUUUAUGCAACUUCAGACAACAGCUAUACUCCCAGUCUAGUCUAGGUAUAUUCUUUCAACUUUACUUGCUAAUCAUUGUUAACAACUGUAAUAACUGUUUACUUCUGUUUACACGGUGGUUUAAAUUAGGAGUGUUGGGAUUAUUUAUUAAUUGAAUCCUAAUUAAUAAAUUGGGAUGCAUAUCUGAUGUAUAAUAACCAAAUAAAUUCUUUAAAUUACCUAAUACAAAUUCUUUUUUUUUA